ACAAGGAGGCUGUGCCUAACGGUCUGACCCGUUUGCACGCCAGGGGCGAGGGGCCGGAUGCUGGGUCCUCCCCGCUUUGGAGGGUUCUUCGCUGGCCUCCUUCGGAAGCUCCCCUCCACCCACAAGCAGGAGACAAGACUCCGUGGGUUGGCUUCCAACCCUGGCAGCACGUUAGAGUCACUUGUGGGACUUUAAAGAAAGAUUUUUUGACGUGAUCUUGGUUACCUGGCUGUGUGUGUCUCUCAAGUCAGAACUGAACACUAGAUGCAAUAUACUGUAUGUACAUUGUACAUUAAUACAAAAAUGAAAAAGGAUCCUAAUGCCCAGGCCUUUGGGGUGGGGGCAACAGCCUUCUUUGCAGUGUGAAGGCCACACUGGGGUGUAGACGAGCAAAGCUUCUUGUGUGACCUGCCAAGGGCCAGUGGUCCUAGCACUGCAAUUCCCCACCCCAGCCACGGGGGAGGGACAGAGGACCCCAGAGCAUCCUCUGCAUGGGGCUGGCCUUCAGUGGGACCCCUGUGCCCCUAACUGUCCUCUGCCUUGUACUUGUGUCCAGCCGAUCCCCCAUAAACUGCAGUGAGGACCAGGAACAUGCCUGGAGCCCUGUGGCCUCAUCUCAGAGCUGCUGUCCCUGCACUUUGAAGAUGAGGCAGCGCAUUUGGGGAGCGGCUGCAUUUAGGGAGUGGCCAAAAUCUCCAGACACUGCAUUCCUGACACUUAGUGCUCCUGGAAGAAGUGGGAGGGGUGCAGUUCUCUUAGCUUCCAGGCAGACUGGAAAAAGUUCUUUUUCAUCCCAGGACAGACUGGGGCAGGUCACACCCAUCCUCUAGGAACACUGGGGCGAUUCUCUCAUCAAAGGUCAAAUGGAUGCAGUUCUCUCUCAUCCUACAAAUAGACUGGUGACAUUUCUCUUUCACCCCUUCCCUCAUACAGGGAGGUCAAAGGGCAGACUCCAGAAUUCCCAAACUUCAGUCAUUCAUGUGCUGCCUUUGAGAUUUGUUGUACUCAUAAGCACUAGUUUAACUAUUGUCUUUCAGUCAUCCCAUUUUUUAAACUUUGAAGUAAUGGAUAGGCAAGUUAAGUUUAUUUUUUUCUCUCGAAUACCUUAAAGCAAAUGCAUUCCUGAUAAAACUGAAAGUACUUAUUCAAGUACCUAAUAAAACUGAGUCACGCACCACUGCAAUAAGGGGCCACUGGCCUGAAAAAUCCCCAAAUUUGUAAGUGGGCAGCCUCUGGCUCCACCCUGGGCCAGACCUGGGGCUCCUCUUGGGCAAAUUCAAAGUCAGUCCUUCGGAACUCUGACAAGUGUGGCCUCCUCCCCACCCCCAGGCUCUUGGGCUGGUGCUUUUGAAGGGUUUCCCAAACCUACACUCAAGUCUGGGAAUUCUCACCCAGACUCUUGCCAGCUCAUCUGUCUUUUCAAGUUUCACUUCCCCAACCCCCAGGGAGUCAAGCCAACCAGUGGAACCAAGAUGGCUGUAUUCCAGUAAAACGUUAAGGACACCGAAAUCUGAACUUCGCAAACUUUUCAUCUGUCACGUAAUCAUACUAUUUUGGGUAUUUCCCCCACCACUAACCACUUAAAAAUGUCAAGACCACUCUUAGCUCAGAGAUUUGGCUGGUGGGAGGAGUUUGCCCGCCCUUGCUUUAGCUGCUGCUGGUUGCUGGGACCCUGGGCGUCCUUCCUUGGUAGUUUGCACAAAUUUGCCAUGCAUUGCCUCAUUUGAUUCUCAUGACACAUGUAGGAGUUACUGUUAUUUUCAUUUUACAUAUAUUAAAACCGAGGCUGAGAUGACAUCACUACAAAGGAAGUUCCCUCCUGGGUCAACAGACCUCUGGGCCCUUAUAGCACUGAAUUCAGUGGGUCCUACUCAAAUCCCAGGGAAAAGUCGGUCAGUCAGAGUCACGGCCUGGUCCUCAGAAGGGAGGACAAAUGGUAGCUCUAUCUGCAGCUUCCCCAGGGCAUGCUCCUUACAGGGUAUGACUGGUAGAACAGGUAGAUGAACAAAGGCAGAGGCUCCUAAUGGAAGGACAGCAAGGAGGGGCCACCACCAACUCAAGCCUGGCAGGGGCUGAGGAAACCAUCCUGGCCCCAGUGAGUUUCCCUCUCAUUAUCUCAUCUGGAUCAGUUUCACAAUGCCUGCCUCCACCAGGGCUCCUACGGCUGCACCUGCAGGUCCCUUGCCCUCACCCUCCUCGUUGCAACCUUCAAAUCCCAGGCUUGCUCUGUUGGUGCUGACCUUGCAGCAAAUCCCCAGCCCCAGAAAAAUGUCCCCUUUCAGGGGAGUUGCUUUUUCGGCUCUACACAACUGUACCAUAACUUAGUAUUUCUAUUAAAAAUUUUUUUUUUUUACCUCAUCUGAGGUGAUACCAUUGGGCUAAUUGUAGGGGAAUGGCUCUACCUAGGGGUAUACUCUCAUAGGCCACAGGCCACACAGCUCAACUGAGCCUCCUGGAACUGAGAGUGGAGGCCUAGGAGGCGCUGCCACAAGGCCAGCUCCAUUCCCCGCUCCAUCCUUCUGGGAGGCUAUCAGGAGUUACUGUCUCCUGGGAUUUUUUUUCUAAGCAGGGAUGUGAGACUUCCGGUUCGUACCCCACUCCCCCCAUGGUAUAGCUGCAGACUAGACAAUCUGCUCAGCUGCAGUCUAGAAUUGGCUCCUCAACAAGGGGAGAUGCUGUGCCUCCUGUUGCAGGCCCCUUUGGGUGCUUUUCCAUUCACUGUCAGUAGUAAAUUGGAUGUAAGUCACUGGAGGCUGGGUGUGGUGGCUCACGUCUAUAAUCCCAGCACUUUGGGAGACUGAGACAGGUGGAUCACCUGAGGUCAGGGAGUUCGAGACCAGCCUGACCAACAUGGUAAAACCCCACGUCUACUAAAAAUACAAAAAUUAAGGCAUGGUGGCAUAUGCCUGUAAUCCCAGCUACUUAAGAGGCUGGGACAGGAGAAUCGCUUGAACUCGGGAGGUGGAGGUUAUGGUGAGCUAUCAUGCCACCGCACUCUAGCCUGGGCGACAGAGCAAGACUUCGUCUCAAAAAAAAAAAAAAAAAUGCUGGGCCUGGUGGCUCACGCCUGUAAUCCUAGCACUUUGGGAGGCUGAGGUGGGUGUAUCAUGAGGUCAGGAGUUCCAAGACCAGCCUGGCCAAGAUGGUGAAACCCCGUCUCUACUAAAAAUACAAAAUUAGCUGGGCAUGGUGGUGGGCGCCUGUAAUCCUAGCUACUUGGGAGGCUGAGGCAGGAAAAUCACUUCAUCCGGGAGGCAGACGUUGCAGUGAGCUGAGAUCAUGCCACUGCACUCCAGCCUGGAUGACAGAGACUCCAUCUCAAAAAAAAAAAAAAAGUCACUGGUACUUUAAUGGCUCUAUUUGUCAGGGCUUGGCCUGGCCUGCUGCAACAUUCCUUGACAACAUCCCCAAUACCAACAUGGGGCACAUCACACAUAUUAAGGGUAUUACUUCUGUAACUUGUUUGAAUGCUUAGGUGAAUACCUAAGACUAUCUGAUGAGACAGAAUGUCUUAUCGAGCCAACCAUCAAAUGCUCCUGGAAGGUAAAGCUCCUGAUGACAGUGCCUUUGUGCACCAUCACCUCACUGUAGAACUCAGCCAGUUGGCCUUGGCUUGUGAACUCUCACCACAGCUUGCCACUGUCAGUUGAAACUGGUGGCACAUGCACAUAAGAUGAUCAGAGUUCCAAGUGGCUAUCUACAAGCAUGAGCAUUGAGAAUGGUGAAAUACUUGGGGAUCCCUUGGACUUAGCUGACAACUCCUUCAAGAAGACGCAGGGUCUUCCUAUCUUUGCAUCUGGCAUAUGUAAAAAACAGGCAAGACUAAAUCACAUAUUUAAAUCCAUAUUUAUUAAAUAUCCCUUGUUUUUCAUUCAGGAGAUACCAGAAGGGCCCAGGUCCUGGUGCACAGCAAAGCUUCUCAUUCUGGAAGCAGAGAACCUGGCACCCAAACCUAGGGCCAGAGGUCUGUCUGCCAGACCCACAGCCCAGGCCCAGAACUGGAAAUUCCUGACUCCUUCCAGAAGGGCAACAAGCGAGGUUUCAAACUUGCUCAAUUAAGGUGCCAAGGCUUGCAUUCAAAUUCAGCUCCACUCCUCACUAGGUGUAUUAACACAGGCAGGCCUCAUCUGUAAAAAUGAGAUGAGAAACACUUCAGAGACCUGUUGUGAAAAUUAAGUGACAUAAUUGACACAACUAGGGAUUAUUACAAACCCCUGUUGCCAUCGGUGGCAACAACAGAACUGAACCCUACUUACCAACUCCUGAACCCACUCCCACCAUGAGCUGAGAGGCCUGUGACCAACCUCAGUGGCAGCCCAUGCCCUUUCCAGGGGCUGAAACACUGGCCACUGACCUAAGGUAACUCCGGAGAAAAGACUAUAUAUGUUGAAACCAAAUCACAAAAGCAGUAAAAUACCACCCUCAAGAAUCAGGGUUCAUGAGUCCAAACACUAGACAACUGUUUGUCCCAAAAUAGUAUUGUGAGCUUGAAGACAAUGAACCUUUCUGGGAUUCAAUCACCUGACUUACCAUACGGGAAGGUCAAAAUACUUUUCAUUAGCCAGGUGACUCUAAAUAAAACAGGAGUGAAGUGACUUGCCAGGUCAGACCUUCCUGCACACUUACCCCUGCACAGGUUCCAAGGAACAGCCUGGCAGCCACUGAAGGUAUCUUCUCUCAGGUCAGGUCCCCUCUAGCUCCAGCAUCUUGGGAUUGCUGCUGUAGAAACACUGACGGAUGGCAGGCACUCUUGUGCCAUGUGCUGGGUCAGGGACACAGAGUGAAGCCACUGGUGAGAGGUGGCUGUCAGGAACUGGCAGCUAACACGGUCGCCUCCCAGUUUCAUGGACACUGGUAGAAAAUACAAAAUUCCUCGAUUAGGGACAAGGGACCACUGAUUAUUCAAAACAAUAGCAAUAGCCAGAGCAUCAGCAUUUUCCACCACCCUCCCAAGCCCCAGUUCCCAUAGGGGAGUCAGAGGCACCUGCAUGAGCCAUUGGACUACUACAAGAAAGGAGCGCAGGACUCUACCCUUUCACAACGCACAGCAAGAAUGCCUGCCCUCUGCUCUGGAAGAAGGUACUAACCUCUUACCUUCCAAGGUGGUAGAACAUGCUUGAAAAGAUAGUAAGUGAAAAGGGGUAGCCAGUGCUUUACUCACAAGACUGCUUGAACAUGAGACUCAAGGAGGGACCUCAGCAGGCCUGGGGUGUUCAGCAACUAUUCCUGGCCUGAAAAGACAGAAUCAGCUGAAAGCCUCUACCUUUAAGAGAGGUGACCCCACCACCCAGAGGAACACAGGAGCUGUGCUGCUCGUGCUAUGCUCAAGCCAGCAACACUCUUCUCAUCCCAGCCAGUCCUUUAACACACCUAACACCAAGACAAGAACUUGAAGGCAUCCAUCUCCUUCCCAUCCAAAC
rnacentral:lncRNA from 1 species